AAGGAUCAUUACCGAGUGCGGGCUGCCUCCGGGCGCCCAACCUCCCACCCGUGACUACCUAACACUGUUGCUUCGGCGGGGAGCCCCCCAGGGGCGAGCCGCCGGGGACCACUGAACUUCAUGCCUGAGAGUGAUGCAGUCUGAGCCUGAAUACAAAUCAGUCAAAACUUUCAACAAUGGAUCUCUUGGUUCCGGCAUCGAUGAAGAACGCAGCGAACUGCGAUAAGUAAUGUGAAUUGCAGAAUUCAGUGAAUCAUCGAGUCUUUGAACGCACAUUGCGCCCCCUGGCAUUCCGGGGGGCAUGCCUGUCCGAGCGUCAUUGCUGCCCUCAAGCCCGGCUUGUGUGUUGGGUCGUCGUCCCCCCCGGGGGACGGGCCCGAAAGGCAGCGGCGGCACCGUGUCCGGUCCUCGAGCGUAUGGGGCUUUGUCACCCGCUCGAUUAGGGCCGGCCGGGCGCCAGCCGGCGUCUCCAACCUUAUUUUUCUCAGGUUGACCUCGGAUCAGGUAGGGAUACCCGCUGAACUUAAGCAUAUCAAUAAGCGGAGGAAAAGAAACCAACCGGGAUUGCCUCAGUAACGGCGAGUGAAGCGGCAAGAGCUCAAGUUUGAAAGCUGGCCCCUUCGGGGUCCGCGUUGUAAUUUGCAGAGGAUGCUUCGGGUGCGGCCCCUGUCUAAGUGCCCUGGAACGGGCCGUCAGAGAGGGUGAGAAUCCCGUCUUGGGCAGGGUGCCCGUGCCCGUGUGAAGCUCCUUCGACGAGUCGAGUUGUUUGGGAAUGCAGCUCUAAAUGGGUGGUAAAUUUCAUCUAAAGCUAAAUACCGGCCGGAGACCGAUAGCGCACAAGUAGGGUGAUCGAAAGAUGAAAAGCACUUUGAAAAGAGAGUUAAACAGCACGUGAAAUUGUUGAAAGGGAAGCGCUUGCGACCAGACUCGGCCCCGGGGUUCAGCCAGCACUCGUGCUGGUGUACUUCCCCGGGGGCGGGCCAGCGUCGGUUUGGGCGGCCGGUCAAAGGCCCCAGGAAUGUAUCGCCCUCCGGGGUUGUCUUAUAGCCUGGGGUGCAAUGCGGCCAGCCCGGACCGAGGAACGCGCUUCGGCACGGACGCUGGCGUAAUGGUCGCAAACGACC
rnacentral:rRNA from 1 species